UGCAAGUCGAGCGCCCCGCAAGGGGAGCGGCAGACGGGUGAGUAACGCGUGGGAAUCUACCCAUCUCUACGGAAUAACGCAUGGAAACGUGUGCUAAUACCGUAUACGUCCUUCGGGAGAAAGAUUUAUCGGAGAUGGAUGAGCCCGCGUUGGAUUAGCUAGUUGGUGGGGUAAAGGCCUACCAAGGCGACGAUCCAUAGCUGGUCUGAGAGGAUGAUCAGCCACACUGGGACUGAGACACGGCCCAGACUCCUACGGGAGGCAGCAGUGGGGAAUAUUGGACAAUGGGCGCAAGCCUGAUCCAGCCAUGCCGCGUGAGUGAUGAAGGCCCUAGGGUUGUAAAGCUCUUUCACCGGUGAAGAUAAUGACGGUAACCGGAGAAGAAGCCCCGGCUAACUUCGUGCCAGCCGCCGCGGUAAUUCA
rnacentral:rRNA from 1 species